rnacentral:tRNA from 1 species
GCCUUCGUAAUGUAGUGGUCAGCAUGCUGGGCGCGUAUUCCAGUGGUCGUGGUUCGAGUCCCGGUGAAGGCG